AGCGAACGCUGGCGGCAGGCUUAACACAUGCAAGUCGAGCGGGCACUUCGGUGUCAGCGGCAGACGGGUGAGUAACACGUGGGAACGUACCCUUUGGUUCGGAAUAACGCUGGGAAACUAGCGCUAAUACCGGAUACGCCCUUUUGGGGAAAGGCUUGCUGCCGAAGGAUCGGCCCGCGUCUGAUUAGCUAGUUGGUGGGGUAAUGGCCUACCAAGGCGACGAUCAGUAGCUGGUCUGAGAGGAUGAUCAGCCACACUGGGACUGAGACACGGCCCAGACUCCUACGGGAGGCAGCAGUGGGGAAUAUUGGACAAUGGGCGCAAGCCUGAUCCAGCCAUGCCGCGUGAGUGAUGAAGACCUUAGGGUUGUAAAGCUCUUUUGUCCGGGACGAUAAUGACGGUACCGGAAGAAUAAGCCCCGGCUAACUUCGUG
rnacentral:rRNA from 1 species